UUAUAAAUGCCAAGUCCCAACAUUAACCUAUUCAAGGAAAUGUUUCUUUUCUUCCUGCCCACAUCCAACCAGUGUUUUCAGCCUGGGACCCAAGAGAAUCACAGGUUCAUGCUCACUCACAAGGUGGCGGGACUUGACCCCUGUCUUUGGACACAGCCAGCAAGGAAUGGAAGUAGGAACAUCAGCAUCGUGUACAUCGGAGUUUGAGAAGCCCUAAUCUGAAGAGAAAGGGAGAGGAUCUAGAAAAACGGAGUCAAAGAAAAGUAGGCCAUGAUUGUCAGGAAGCUAAGAGACUACAAGCUAAACAGACUGAAAUUCUGAAAAACAAAUUAAAAGAAUGUCCCGGGAAAUCAGCUUAGGUAACAAAAAGCACUGCUGAAAAAACCGGCAGAAACACCCACCUAGACCUCAUCUCUUUGUCUUCUCACAAAGGAUCUAAGCAGAUGGUACUAAUAUUUACAAUAAGUUUUCUUUGUGCAGUAACAUAUAUAGAGAAACAAUAGUCAAAAGACCUUUGGGAUUACAAUAAUUUAAAUUUAUGUCUUGCUUCUAUUGUACCGUAAUACCGUGGGGAUUUUAUACAUAUUGAAAGAUUCAGGAUCAUGUUAUACUUCUUAAAGUGGAAUUUCACACAUAUAAUCUGAAAAUAAAACAAUGUCUGGGAGAAGAUUUCAUAACAUGCUCAACGAGAAUUGUAUCAGAAUUCAUAGCCCUGUAGUCUCUUUUUUUACUGUUUUUGCAAAAAGAAAAUGUUAAAUAUACAACUAAAGAGCGCCCUCUAGUGGGAUACAGUGCUUAUAGGAAAUACUCAGAAUUCGACCUGUUUCCAGAAAAUGUUGCAUCUCAGAAUUGCUAUGGAUAAAACAGACUGUACUUAGAAUAUAUUGCUUUAGAUCACAGCAUUCUUUGUUAAAAACCAUUGCAUUUUUCAGUGCUUCAACUAUUAAAUAAUAUUAAAUGUAAUUGGUUAGUCUUUAUCUUUUUUUUUUCUGAAGUACAUCAAGACUUGAAACAGUCACUUUUUCUUUUCUUUUUUUUUUUUUCUUUUUCUUUUUUUGGCUGCACCCAUGGCAUUCACAAGUUGCCAGGCGAGGAAUCGAACCUGCACCAGAGCUGUGACCCGAGCCACUGAAAUGGCAAGGCCAGAUCCUUCACCCAUUGAGACAUAGGAGAACUCCAAUCGCUUUUUGUUAUUGAAAUACCUUCUUUGUUUAGAAAUCCUUGAACCUAGCAAACACGACUCCAAGUGAAUAUAAGAUAAGGACACAUUUGUCCCUCUUAAAAACCUCUCUUCUUUGGCCUUCAGCUCAAAUCUGCUGAUGCCGUCUUGUGGCUUGAUGCAGACGGUGAUAACGAC
rnacentral:lncRNA from 9 species